UCGAGAGAUGACGUAUAGGGUCUGACGCCUGCCGGUGCCGGAAGGUUAAAGGGAGGAGUGCAAGCUCCGAACUGAAGCCCCGGUAAACGGCGGCCGUAACAAUAACGGUCCUAAGGUAGCGAAAUUCCUUGUCGGGUAAGUUCCGACCUGCACGAAUGGCGUAACGACCUCCCCACUGUCUCCAGCAUGGGCUCAGUGAAAUUGAAUUCCCCGUGAAGAUGCGGGGUACCCGCGGUCAGACGGAAAGACCCUAUGAACCUUUACUGCAGCUUGGCAGUGGCGCCAGGAAGGGGCUGUGUAGGAUAGGUGGGAGGCUUUGAAGCCGGGGCGCCAGCCUUGGUGGAGCCAACCUUGAAAUACCACCCUGCGCCUUUCUGGCGUCUAACCGAACCCCGUCAUCCGGGGUCGGGACCCUGCCUGGUGGGCAGUUUGACUGGGGGCGGUCGCCUCCCAAAAGGUAACGGAGGCGCGCGAUGGUGGG
rnacentral:rRNA from 1 species